rnacentral:rRNA from 1 species
UACGAAGGGGGCUAGCGUUGUUCGGAAUCACUGGGCGUAAAGGGUGCGCAGGCGGAUCAUUAAGUCAGGGGUGAAAUCCCGAGGCUCAACCUCGGAACGGCCUUUGAUACUGGUGAUCUUGAGUCCGGAAGAGGUGAGUGGAACUGCGAGUGUAGAGGUGAAAUUCGUAGAUAUUCGCAAGAACACCGGUGGCGAAGGCGGCCAACUGGCUCGACACUGACGCUGAGGCGCGAAAGCGUGGGGAGCAAACAGG